CGGGUGAGUAACACGUAGGUAAUCUACCUUCGGGUGGGGAAUAACGCAGGGAAACUUGCGCUAAUACCGCAUAAUGCAGCGGCACCACAUGGUGACAGUUGUUAAAGCGGGGGAUUUUCGAACCUCGCGCCUGAAGAGGAGCCUGCGGCAGAUUAGCUAGUUGGUAAGGUAACGGCUUACCAAGGCGACGAUCUGUAGCCGGCCUGAGAGGGCGGUCGGCCACACUGACACUGACAUACGGGUCAGACUCCUACGGGAGGCAGCAGUCGGGAAUUUUGGGCAAUGGGCGAAAGCCUGACCCAGCAACGCCGCGUGAAGGAUGAAAUCCCUCGGGAUGUAAACUUCGCAAGAAUAGGAAGAAUUAGUGGGGGCUAAUACUCCCCAUGAUGACGGUACUAUUUGUAAGCUCCGGCUAACUCCGUGCCAGCAGCCGCGGUAAUACGGGGGGAGCAAGCGUUGUUCGGAUUUACUGGGCGUAAAGGGCGCGUAGGCGGCCAGCGCAAGUCAGUUGUGAAAUCUCCGGGCUUAACUCGGAAAGGUCAACUGAUACUGCGCGGCUAGAGUGCAGAAGGGGCAACUGGAAUUCUCGGUGUAGCGGUGAAAUGCGUAGAUAUCGAGAGGAAC
rnacentral:rRNA from 1 species